rnacentral:snoRNA from 1 species
ACCGGCUGGGUUGAACAGGAUCUGUUCUAUAGGCUCGUACCGCUGCACCCUUUACCAAUAAGGAGGCAAGCACUCAAGUCUGGUUGAUGCAUUCGAACCUCUGGGACCAGACA